rnacentral:rRNA from 1 species
AAUCAUGGCUCAGGAUGAACGCUAGCUACAGGCUUAACACAUGCAAGUCGAGGGGCAGCAUGGUCUUAGCUUGCUAAGGCCGAUGGCGACCGGCGCACGGGUGAGUAACACGUAUCCAACCUGCCGUCUACUCUUGGACAGCCUUCUGAAAGGAAGAUUAAUACAAGAUGGCAUCAUGAGUUCACAUGUUCACAUGAUUAAAGGUAUUCCGGUAGACGAUGGGGUUGCG